AGUAUAUUUUUCAGUGAUCAAACACAUAUAAACACGUGCAAAAAACUCACAAGGUCAAAGUAAAACCAAUACUCAUGUUGCUGCUGCUGACUGACGGGAAACAGAUUGUUCUUGCCAGAUGCAGUUACCUGUUGAUCUCAGAGAGGAAGCUGAAGCUCUUGUUCCCUGCUUGAUGCUCGGAGCCCGUGGGCUUUGACCCCAGCGAUUCAGUUUGAACAAGAGGAUAUGUGGCCAUGACAACGGGAGCUGAAGCUUCACUGAAAGGGCCUGCCCCGGUCUUUGUGAUGCAGCCCACCCUGAACACGUAUGAGGCUCCUCUUGCCCAACCUGGAACCACUCGUGGCUCAAGCACUCAAAGGCAGAUGGUCGCCUCCUGUUCAGGAAAAUAAUGAAAUGUUAAGACAUCACAUCUGUGUGUACUUGAAAAAAACAUUGUGUCUUCUGUUUGUAAACACAACCACAGAUGGUGAGCAAACACUUCACUUUUCGAAUAACACAAGAAUUUUCCUUUCAUACUAACUGAGACAAGUGUCCUCAAACAAUCACCAACCAGUUCAAUAAGUUUUAUUCAGCUUUCAUCCUUU